AUUGAACGCUGGCGGCAGGCCUAACACAUGCAAGUCGAGCGGAUGAAGGAAGCUUGCUCCUGGAUUCAGCGGCGGACGGGUGAGUAAUGCCUAGGAAUCUGCCUGGUAGUGGGGGAUAACGUCCGGAAACGGGCGCUAAUACCGCAUACGUCCUGAGGGAGAAAGUGGGGGAUCUUCGGACCUCACGCUAUCAGAUGAGCCUAGGUCGGAUUAGCUAGUUGGUGGGGUAAAGGCCUACCAAGGCGACGAUCCGUAACUGGUCUGAGAGGAUGAUCAGUCACACUGGAACUGAGACACGGUCCAGACUCCUACGGGAGGCAGCAGUGGGGAAUAUUGGACGAUGGGCGAAAGCCUGAUCCAGCCAUGCCGCGUGUGUGAAGAAGGUCUUCGGAUUGUAAAGCACUUUAAGUUGGGAGGAAGGGCAGUAAGUUAAUACCUUGCUGUUUUGACGUUACCAACAGAAUAAGCACCGGCUAACUUCGUG
rnacentral:rRNA from 1 species